UACCAAGGGGGCUAGCGUUGCUCGGAAUCACUGGGCGUAAAGCGCACGUAGGCGGCUUUCUAAGUCAGGGGUGAAAUCCUGGAGCUCAACUCCAGAACUGCCUUUGAUACUGGAGAGCUUGAGUUCGGGAGAGGUGAGUGGAACUGCGAGUGUAGAGGUGAAAUUCGUAGAUAUUCGCAAGAACACCAGUGGCGAAGGCGGCUCACUGGCCCGAUACUGACGCUGAGGUGCGAAAGCGUGGGGAGCAAACAGG
rnacentral:rRNA from 1 species